AGCGCUGCCUCUCACUCUUUGUAAAGUUGUAAACCAAAACCGAAGUUGUUUUGCAGCAAUGCACAUUGCCACACUCUAUAGAGGUGUUGGUACCUGCUUGGGGCGACCCUUUCGCGUCCACUUACACGCCCACCCUUCACUCAUUGGCGGACUGUUCCCCGCAUGCCUUUCCUCUCUCACGUCUGCCUUCUCUCUCUCUCUCUCUCUCUCUCUCUCUCGCUCUCUCUCUCUCUCUCUCUCUCCCUCUCCAUAUAUGUAUAUAUACACGCCCACCCUUCACUGAUUGGCCGACUUCUUUGCCGCAUGCCUGUCCACAGUCACUUCCGCCUUUUCUCUAUAUAAACAGCGUGUCGGCUGUCAGUCAGAUUUUGGAACUCAGCGCAUACACAAGACGCUCCGCAUCAUAAGGCGUCCUGUCCAUUUUGGAGAAAAUUUAAGACUUUUAAUGGCGCCUUAUAGUCGUGAAAAUACGGUAGUUUCUUAUUUCUCUCCCGAAACAGUGUCUUCUCCCGCUUGGUGUACCUUAGCCUUCUCCGUUACGUACAAUCUCUGUACACAGCGUGUAGUGGAGUCGUUAGAUGCAAUGCGAAUGAUUUCAUCUUGAAUCGAGCUGUGGACAAUGUUGACAGGCUUGCAUGCAGUAGCCAUACAUUUAGCUAUGGCUUCAGCAAUUUUUUUCUUCGUCAUGUUAUCCAUUUUCUUCGCUUAAAAAUGAUCCAUAGCUGUCUGUCUUCCACGAGGGGGCGGAGUACUUAUAUCAGCUGGGUGCUUGGCCAUUAAGUGGUAUUUCAGACUCGACAUGCUGUGAUGAUAGCUCAGUUUACGACUGCAAAGCAUACAGGUAACUUUGGUCUUGUCAGUUGAGCAAUCUGGCAACUUUUUAAAAGUAAACUUUCCAUAUCAGUAUCUGUUUUCGGUUUAUCGGUGCUGCCGUGACUGGCAAAACAGAAAUGGGUGUGGACUUCUGCAGCACGCUUGUUUUGUUUCCGGUUUAUUUGUAGAACAACAUAACACUCGCUGUGACGUGUGCCGCAUUAAUCUCGCUGUCAUGAUUCGGUUUGGGACCAACAUUUGGCACUGUAGGGCUCCCCCUGCAGCUGAACAGCUAUUGGUCAUUAGGUAAUUAGUGCUUUAAAAGGACUCCCAGCCCGACCACUUAUUGUCGGGUCAUUGUUGCUUUUUGCUGCUGUCAUGUUUGUUUGUUGCUUUUUGCUUGCUGCUGUCAUGUUUUUGUUCCUGUGAAUUUUUUGCCAGUCAUGCAUGGUUUUGUUUGAUACUUUGGACUGCGUUUGUUUUGGAUUUAGUUUUCUGUUUCAAUACACUUCUUCAAGUACACCCUGCUCCUCCCUCCUGCCUGCUUUUUGGGGUCCACCACCACCUUCCAACGUGACACUCGCGUGAAAAAAUUUAAUCCCGUUCAGAUUCAUUUAAAUUAAUGCCAAUAAAAACGCGCAAAACUGACAGCUCUUAUAUAUUAGAGCCGUCAGUUUAGCGCGUUUUUAUUGGCAUUAAUUUAAAUGAAUUUUAACGGGAUUAAUUUUUUUCUCGCGAGAUUAACGCGGCACACGUCACAAGCGGAUGUUACGGUGCUCUAUAAAUACACCAGAAACAAAACAAGCGCGCUGCAGGAGUCCACGCCCAUGUCAGUUUUGCCAGCCAUGGCAGCGCGAGACACCGAAAACGGAUACUUAAAGAGUUUAUGAAUGGAAAGUUUACGUUUAAAAAGUUGCCAGAUUGCUCCACUGACAAGACCAAAGUUAUCUGUUAUUCUCUCUCUCUGUAUCAUACAGGUAUACGAUGUAUGCCACUGACACGAUUGUUACUAUUUUGGAACUAUUUUGUGUGGAAGGUUACAGUGUUCUGCGCCCAUAUAAAUAGAGCGGGUGGAGCUUCUCUGUGUUUGUCUGACAGUGGUAGCGACCUAGCGAAAAUAAAACUUCUCCAGUGUUGUCCUCGAACCAAGUGUAGUCAUUCGAAAUGAGGUAGACACAAAAACCGUAGAGAGACUUCCGCGCAAGAAGGACCAACAUAAUCAACAUAGCCUGACUGUGUUAGGGGGAGUGAAACCCCCCUCUUUCAGAAUGGUUUGCCCCAGCAGCACGGGGAAGUAUAUAUUGCACUUACAGUGCUGUUCAAAAUAAUAGCAGUGCAAUGUGUAACCAGAAUAUCCCUUAUUUCCCUGACCAGAAUAUCCCUUUUUUGUAUAUUUUUUAUUGUUACAUGUCAGACAAAUUACCAGUAGGUGCAGUAGAUUCUCAGAAAACAAACAAGACCCAUUCAUAAUAGGCACGCUCCAAGGCUGUGCAAUUGGGCAAAUAGUUCAAAGGGGUAUGUUAAAAAAAACAGCAGCGUGGCAACCAAUCUCUGAGUUCAGCAAUUUUGGGGAAGAAAAAAAACUGGUGUGAAUCAGGUGCCGCCUAUUUAAGGAUGAAGAAGCCAGCACAGGUUGAACAUGCAUUUGAGGAAAAUGGGUCAUUCAAGACACUGCUCCGAAGAACAGCGAUCUUUGAUUAAAAAGUUGAUUAAAGAGGAAGAACCUAUAAAGAGGUGCAAAAAAGUGUUGACUGUUCAGCUAAAAUGAUCUCCAAUGUCUUAAAAUGGUGAUAGAGAAAUCAAUGAAGAAAAUUUUAUUAUGUUUAAAGUUUCGGUUAAUUUGGGCAUGUCUGGACAUGCUCUGCGUAGACGUGUCGGCCGUUUGGGCGGAGUGCCUUUUAUUGAGUAAUCACGUCAAAGCAAGGGGGGGCGAAGGCUAGAUUAAAUCACAGAGUGGGAACAAACAAAUUGGGAACAAGGGGUUUUUGAAUACCAAAAGACAGUUUGGGAACAGCUGUUGUGCCCAGGUGGACAUUCGUCAUCAGUAAAGUCUAUGACUUGUGUUUUCGGGUAGAUCAGAUCACUGCCGAGUGGCCGGACCGGGGGGCGUGGUAUGCAAAUCUCAGGGGCAGUGUCUUUCUUGUAUUUUGCAAUAAAUGUUCGAACCGGCGGAGAGGGAGCUGAGUGUGUAUCAUUGGAGCAACUAAACCGUCGUUCGCUCUCAGAGAUCCGCUCCCGCCGAUAUUGAAGACUUCCUGUGUGCCGAGUCAUUUCUUUAACUUUGUCCGAGAAAAUCUCUGACAAAUGGGUAGAAAAACCAGAGACACGUGGAAGAAAACGGAAGACAACUUUUAAAAUGGAUCGGAGAAUAACCAGAAUGCCAAAGGCCAAUGAUCAGCUCCAGGAUGAUCAAACACAGUCUGCAGUUACCUGUAAGUGCUGUGACAGUUAGAAGACGUCUGAGUGAAGCAACUUCAUUUUCAAGAAUCCCACGCGAAGUCCCUCUGUUACAAAAAAGGCAUGUGCAGAAGAGGUUACAAUUCGCCAAAGAACACAUCAACUGGCCGAAAGAAAAAUGGAGGAACAUUUUGUGGACUGAUGAAAGUAAAACUGUCCUUUUUGAGUCCAGGGGCCACAGACUGUGUGUGAGAUGACCCCCAAACUCUGAAUUCAAACCUCAGUAGACAUUGAAGACAGUGCAGCAUGGUGGUGCAAGUAUCAUGGUCUGGGCACGUUUCUCCUACUCUGGUGUUGGGCCCAUUUAUCGCAUACAAGGGAUCAUGGAUCAGUUUGUGUAUGUCAAGAUACUUGAAGAGGUUAUGUUGCAUUAUACUGAAGAGGACAUGCCCUUGAAAUGGGUGUUUCAACAAGACAAUGACCCCAAACACACCAGUAGAUGAGCUAAGUCUUGGUUCCAAACCAAUAAAAUUAAUGUUAUGGAGUGGCCAGCCCAAUCCCCAGAUCUCAAUCCAAUCGAGAACUUGUGGGGUGAUGUCAAAAAUUCUGUUUUUGAAGCAAAACCAAGAAAUGUAACUGAAUUGUGGAAUGUUGUUCAGCAAUCAUGGAGUGAAAUAACAACUGAAAGGUGCCACAAGUUGGUUGACUAUAGGGGUGUUCACACGGCAAGAUUUGGUCCGGUGCUACGCCGGGGCUGCCCCAGUAGAGCGUUCACACGUGCAAAUUAGCUCCGGCAUAGCCCUGGAAAAAGGCUUACACCGGACCAAAUUUGAUCCACCCCAGGGAUGUGGUUUAAAAAUUUGCUCCGGAGCAAAUGCCCGUUUGCGAAACAGCACCGAUGUAAAUUUGCACGUGUGAACGCAACUGGUUUAAAUUUGCUCCAGAGCAAAUGCUUGUGAAGCUUACGUACGGCGAAAAUGUGUUGCUUUCGUGCUCUGUCGGACUUGUGUGUCACAUCACACACCAAGCUCUCCAACCUGUACUUCUCCCCAGAGUACAUUAUUCAUCCAAAAGAAAAAUAGGGGACGGAAAUAGCAACAAAAAAAGCACUUUAAAUAGAAAACUGUUUUCUGUUUACUGUAAUUUCACAAGUAAAAAACUUUUUUAAUCUAAAAAUUUUCGACGGGGUGAUGGAAAAAAGGAAAAUUCAUUACAUACUAUAGAUGAGGGGCAGCCCGGUAGUCCAGUGGUUAGCGCGUCGGCUUCACAGUGCAGAGGUACCGGGUUCGAUUCCAGCUCCGGCCUCCCUGUGUGGAGUUUGCAUGUUCUCCCCGGGCUUGCGUGGGUUUUCUCCGGGUGCUCCGCUUUCCUCCCACUUUCCAAAAAACAUGCAUGGCAGGCUGAUUCUAAAUUGUCCCUAGGUUUGAAUGUGGGCAUAGAUGGUUGUUUGUCUCUGUGUGCCCUGCAAUUGGCUGGCAACUGAUUCAGGGUGUCCCCCGCCUACUGCCCGAAGACGGCUGGGAUAGGCUCCAGCACCCCCCGCGACCCUAGUGAGGAUCAAGCGGUUCGGAAAAUGGAUGGAUGGAUGGACUAUAGAUGAGGAAUUCUCACGUUUGUCAAUCGAGGACCUGCAUCCGGUGUAAAGUUGUUGCCAACUUGAUAGAAGUUCAGAACAAUAAAGCAUUCAUUCAUUUUAUGAUCUGCUUUAUUCUCACAAGGGUGGCGGCGGGUGCUGGAUUUUACCCCAGCAGUCUUCGGGCAGUAGGCGGGAGACACCCUGAACCGGUGGCCAGCCAAUCGCAGGGCACACGGAGACGGACAACCAUCCUUGCUCACACUCACACGUAGGGGCAGUUUAGAGUGGUCAAUCAGCCUGCCGUGCAUUUUCUUGGAAUGUGGGAAACUCCACACAGGAAGGCUGGAGCCGGGAUUGAACCCAUGACCUCUACACUGUGAGGUCCACACACUAACCACUGGACCACCGGUCUUAAAUUUUUUUUUGGAAAAUACAUGUACACUAUAUUACAUUUAAAAAUUCAGUUUUUUUACGCUAGAUGAUGCCAGAUAUCAGUGAAGCGAAUGCUGAACUUGACUCCCAUGCCAAAGUGAACCCCUGUCACGAAGAAUAAAAAUAAAAAUAGCGGUAGCACGAAGAAGAAAAAUUAAAAAUAGCAGUAAGAAAGAAGAGAGAAGAACAUAAUAGACGACAUAACAGAAAAUGGAGAGACGUAGCGACAAUCUGGAGAAAAGUGGGUCGAAGAUCAUCCAGGUUAACCAGCAGCUGAGGAGAGGUUAUGAUGUGAUUUACAUUUCAAAAAUCAGAAGCCAUUCAUUUACAAAUGUGAUUGCACGUUAGUUUACAUAUUUAAAUGUUCAGAUAUUAAGAUUUCAAUGAGACAAAAUAACAUGCUUUUUCUCUCAAAUAUAUUGUUAUAAUUAUUUGUUUCAGAUGUACUGUAAUUAUUUUCUGCAUAAAAAUUAAUUUGGUGUUCAAAAAGUCUCUUUUCAAACUUGAGUUUUGAAAAAGAGGGGGUUGUCUUAUAAUCAGGGCCGUCUUAUAUUCUGGCCAGUACGGUAAUUCGGCCCGAAAUUAAUUAUUUAUAACGGAUAACGUAUCAUUCGCAGUGAUGAAAGUCCUCCGGAUUUUCAAAUUUUAAUGAAAGUUUCUCUGGAGAAUUUAGGAAAAAUCGCCUAAAAUUAAUCUGAAUAUUAGUUGACAACAUUGAACGAACACGUGUUUGAGUUUGUUGUUUUGCUUUCACUAGCGUAGCCAUGUUGAAGCACUAACACUAGUAACAGUAAAGAGAUUUUCGUCUCUUUAUAAACACACUUGCUAAACCCCAGUGGAAUGAAUAAAAGACGCCAUGGACAAGA